GUCAACAGCUAAUCUAGUGCAAAGGUCCUGAAGCAGGAAUAAGCUUGAGAUGUUCCAAGGAAGAGAAAGAAGGCCAGGGGCUGGUCUCUCGUGGCCCAGAGGGAGAGUGGCAUGAAGUGAGGUCAAGGUAUCAGCAGCAGGCAUUUUGGAUGCCCUGACAGGGAAUUUGGGUCUCUUUCUAAACACAAGAGGAGGCCCCUGGAAAGCUUUAAGCAAGGAAGAUUGUGUCCCUCCCGAUGCUUCUCUCCCUGGAGAAGGGAGGCUGAGUAUUUCUGAGGCUCCAGAAGUCUGACGGGCAGGUUAGAGACGCGGAGAAGAACCCGGGGCCACGGCCAGCAUUUGCCCACCCAUGCCCCUGGAGUCUACAGAUCCUGAAGGAGACAGCAAUGUAGCUCCCACCCCCUUCUUUGCUCGAAUGUGGAAUCCAAACUCUCUGAGGACAGCUGGACAGCUGGUGGACACUUGCUGACAGAUGGACAUUGGAGCUGGCUGCGCGGGCCCGGGGACAGAGGCCAGCGCUGACCAGGGAGUGCUAUUUACCAUCUGUUUUUUCCCUUGGCUGAAAAUAAUUGGAGAUGAACCGCCUGCUGCUCGGGUCCCCCGCGUAGGCUCGGAAGGAACAAUGGGAACAGACAAUGACUGCAUUUUUUUCCCCCAGCAAAACAAGCUCGAAGAAACUCUCCUCCCCGGGUUGCAGAAGCAGCACUGAAUCCAGUGGGUCUCACAUCCCCACAUUUCUUAUCAUCUGCCUCUUCAGAGCCUCAUGCAUCUCGGGCCCAGAAAGCCUUCUCCGGGGGGCUCUUUGAUUUCUAUCAGCCAAGUUCACUAAUUUUCCUCUGUCCUAACAACAUCUGGUGCAUUUGAUGUUCCUCUAAAGUUUGCACCAUCUGUAAAUAUAAAUAGCCUGGUCUUGAUUCCAUUAGAGGCCCAUGAAUGGAACAAAGAUAUUCCAAAGUGACUGCCGUGAGACCGUGGGCCCAACAGGACCCGGCUCCAGCUCUGGAGACAAGGAGGCCCGGUGUGUUUUCCUCCUCCCCGUGGAGCCAGACCUUAUGGCUUCCUGGCAGAGGGGCUCUAACCUCCCUUGAUCCCAUCAGCAUCAUGGAACCGCCUGCCCCUGUUGAAGGGAACUUACAGAGGUUCCCUCGGUGGAUGAAGUUCUGAGGACAGGACAGGCCUUGGGAAGUCAACCUCACCGAAGCAGGACGGGAACCCCCUGGACUUUCAGAGGGGAGUUGUCUUGGGGCUGCCACACCCCAGGGAGCAGCAGCCCAGACACGCAAGCCCCCAGGGACUCUAGCCCUUGUAGCUCAGAGGCACCUGCAUCGUCCACCCGGUUGACCCAGCGUUGGGCCCUUGUCCUGCCAACCGGUCCAGCUCCUCUGCCCUCACGUCUGUCUGUUGGCGCAGAGACCCGCCGUCCCUCCACGGGCUGGGCACACUGAUGGCAGGCACUGACUGAUGCCCCCUCCUUCUCAUUAGAUUCUUUGCUGCCCUCCUGCCUUCAUCUCUGGGAGGAUUGGAGGGGGAACACGUCUUGAUCAGGUCAUUUUAUACCUCCCUCUAUGCCAGGCUGAGCAUGGGCAAUCGGCAGUCUCUGUCUCAUUCUUUCUCUGCUCUCAAUUUCUAAGGGAAAACAAAACGAAACAGGAUCUUUUCUGACCUCGGCGUUAGAGGCUACAUGUCUGUGGUCCUAAGACCUAAUGGGAUGGCAUUUGGAGGUGCAUCUUGGGGAGGUAAUUAGGUCACAAAGGUGGGGUCCUCGUGAUGGGGUUAGUGCCCUUAUAAGAAAAAACUACUGAGAGUUCUUCUCCACUCCACCCCUAGGUGGGCACACAGCCAGAAGACGGUGUCUAUGAACCAGGAAGCGGGCCCUCACCAGACACUGAACCUGCCAGCACUUUGAUCUCAGAGGUACCAGCCUCCAGAACUCUGAGAAAUAACUGUUUGUUGUUUCAGCCCCCAUCUGUGGUAUUUUUGUGAGAGCAGUUCAAAUGGUCUAAGACACUCUCUAGGCCUCACGCCCACCUCAGCUUCAGGCAGAAACUGCUCUUGCCAAAAUACUACCUCAAGUUUGACCCAGGAAUGCCCCUGAACUUGGCCUGUGUCCUCCCAGCCAAGCCGGUCUCACAGCCAUUGUUUGCUUCUAUCCCCCAACACCCCAAACAGCUUCCACAACAUAAGCGAACGUCCUCUCUAAAGCCCCCGCCCGUCCACCUCUCUGUCUCCACGUCUGCCACCGAGACUGAGACACGUGCCAGAACCCUGCUCAGUGGGGGCCACUCCAGUCAUCGGGGUCUCCCAUCAGACGGCGUUCACGGCUACCGGCCUUUCUGGAAAUAUAUACGUUCUUUAAUACCAGACUAUGGUGUCAUACACCAAAAAAGAAUUUUCUAGGUAGGUAAUAUUGAGAUCCUGGGUGUUAUGGACUAAAUAUUCAUGUCCACCCCAAAUUCAUACAUUGAGGUCCCCAGCCCCAGGGUGGCUGUAUUUGGAGAUGGAGCCUCUAAGGAAGUAAUCGAGGUUAAACGUGGUGAUAAGGUUAGGGUCCUGAUCUGAUAGGAUUAGUGUCUUUCUAAGAAGAGAUACCAUAAAAAAAAUAAAAUAAAAUAAGAAGAGAUACCAGAGAGGAUCUCUCUCUCAUUCUCUCUCUGUCUCUCACAACACACGCACUGAGGAAAGGCCAGGUGAGGCCCUAGAUGGAAGGUAGUUGUCUUCAACCCAAGAGGUAAGACCUCACAAGACGCCGGCCCUACCGGCACCAUGAUCUUAGACUUCCAGCCUCCAGAACUGUGAGCAAAUUGAUUUCUGAUUUUUAAGCUGCUCAGUUUAUGACAUCUUGUUACGACAGCCCAAGCAGGCCAAGGUGCGGUGUUAAACCAAGUGGACGGGUUUCCGUACAAUGGCCAUUCAUUCAUUCCCUCAUAUUCAGCAAAUAAGUAUUUACUGAGCUCCUUUGGAGUCAGGUGCUGGGCUGGGCCCUGAGGACACAGGGGGACAGAGGCAUCUCUGUGCAUGACUCUCAUGUGCCAUUGUGCUUUGUGGUUCUCAGAGAGGACCCCGUAAUACGUAUAGUUCCCACUCCUAUCUGAGCGCAGAAGCUUUCUUUGAGCAACGGUGUGUCACCACAGAUCCUUGGAGAAACUCUCAAUAAUACUUUGGUCCAAGGGGGAGAGGAAAGAUCCUUUGGUCUGUGUUUCACCAUGGCUGUCAGCUGAUCCAACGAAUUGGGCCCCCAAAACUUGGUACAGAGCACCAUGCCGAAUGCUGCGAAGACUGAAAAGCAAACAGAAGGCAGGGAGUUGGAAGAAAACCCAAUGAUUUGGAGAGGGGUGGGGUGGGGCUCGGAAUAGGGUGGACCAGGGUUUAAGACUUGAGUUGGCCAUUUAUGAGCUGUGUGACC